UACGAAGGGGGCUAGCGUUGCUCGGAAUCAUUGGGCGUAAAGCGCGCGUAGGUGGCUUCGUAAGUCCGUUGUGAAAGUCAAAGGCUCAACCUUUGAAAGCCGAUGGAUACUGCGGAGCUAGAGUACGGAAGAGGCGAGUGGAAUUCCUGGUGUAGCGGUGGAAUGCGCAGAUAUCAGGAGGAACACCGAUGGCGAAGGCAGGUCUCUGGGCCGAUACUGACGCUGAGGAGCGAAAGCGUGGGGAGCGAACAGG
rnacentral:rRNA from 1 species